rnacentral:misc_RNA from 1 species
UCCGGUUUAUCACCGGCAGUCUCCACAGAGUCCUCGGCUUUACCCGUUAGCACCUGUGCUAGCCCCUUACGGACACGGGCUUUCACCCGCUUUAACUAGCAUGUCAAGCCUAGGUAAGGUUCUUCGCGUUGCAUCGAAUUAAGCCACAUGCUCCGCCGCUUGUGCGGGCCCCCGUCAAUUCCUUUGAGUUUUAGCCUUGCGGCCGUACUCCCCAGGCGGGGCGCUUAAUGCGUUAGCUGCGGCACGGAACCCAUGGAAUAGGCCCCACACCUAGCGCCCAACGUUUACGGUGUGGACUAC